AUCUUCCACAAUGGACGAAAGUCUGAUGGAGCAACGCCGCGUGAGUGAAGAAGGGUUUCGGCUCGUAAAACUCUGUUGUUAAAGAAGAACAUAUCUGAGAGUAACUGUUCAGGUAUUGACGGUAUUUAACCAGAAAGCCACGGCUAACUACGUGCCAGCAGCCGCGGUAAUACGUAGGUGGCAAGCGUUGUCCGGAUUUAUUGGGCGUAAAGCGAGCGCAGGCGGUUUUUUAAGUCUGAUGUGAAAGCCUUCGGCUCAACCGAAGAAGUGCAUCGGAAACUGGGAAACUUGAGUGCAGAAGAGGACAGUGGAACUCCAUGUGUAGCGGUGAAAUGCGUAGAUAUAUGGAAGAACACCAGUGGCGAAGGCGGCUGUCUGGUCUGUAACUGACGCUGAGGCUCGAAAGUAUGGGUAGCAAACAGGAUUAGAUACCCUGGUAGUCCAUACCGUAAACGAUGAAUGCUAAGUGUUGGAGGGUUUCCGCCCUUCAGUGCUGCAGCUAACGCAUUAAGCAUUCCGCCUGGGGAGUACGGCCGCAAGGCUGAAACUCAAAGGAAUUGACGGGGGCCCGCACAAGCGGUGGAGCAUGUGGUUUAAUUCGAAGCUACGCGAAGAACCUUACCAGGUCU
rnacentral:rRNA from 2 species